CCUACGGGUGGCAGCAGUAGGGAAUAUUGCUCAAUGGGGGAAACCCUGAACCAGCAACGCCGCGUGGAGGAUGAAGGUCUUCGGAUUGUAAACCCUCUUUGUUAGAGAAGAUAAUGACGGUACCUAACGAAUAAGCACCGGCUAACUCCGUGCCACCAGCCGUGGUAACACGGAGGGUGCAACCGUUACUCGGAAUCACUGGGCGUAAACGGCGUGUAGGCGGGAUAGCAAGUCAGAUGUGAAAUCCUAGGGGUUAACCAUAGAAGUGCAUUUGAAACUGGUAGUCUAGAGUAUGCGAGAGGUAGGUGGAAUGCGUGGUGUAGCGGUAAAAUCCGUAGAGAUCGAGAAGAAUACUGAUUGCGAAGGCAGCCUGCUGGAGCCUAACUGACGCUGAUGCACGAAAGCGUGGGGAGCGAACAGGAUUAGAUACCCCAGUAGUC
rnacentral:rRNA from 1 species